rnacentral:rRNA from 1 species
GUUCCCAUACCGAACACGGAAGUUAAGCUCUUCAGCGCCGAUGGUAGUUGGGGGAUCUCCCCCUGUGAGAGUAGGACGUUGCCAGGC